CAUCCUACGGGAGGCAGCAGUGGGGAAUAUUGCACAAUGGGGGAAACCCUGAUGCAGCGAUGCCGCGUGGAGGAAGAAGGUUUUCGGAUUGUAAACCUCUGUGGAGGGGGACGAUAAUGACGGUACCCCUUUAGGAAGCCACGGCUAACUACGUGCCAGCAGCCGCGGUAAUACGUAGGUGGCGAGCGUUGUCCGGAAUUACUGGGUGUAAAGGGAGUGUAGGCGGGAAAGCAAGUCAGAAGUGAAAACUAUGGGCUUAACCCAUAGCCUGCGUUUGAAACUGUUUUUCUUGAGUGAAGUAGAGG
rnacentral:rRNA from 1 species